rnacentral:tRNA from 1 species
CGGAGCGUAGCUCAAUCGGUAGAGCGCCUGCUUUGGGAGCAGGAGGUUCCCGGUUCGAUUCCGGGCGCUCCGA